GACGAACGCUGGCGGCGUGCUUAACACAUGCAAGUCGAACGGAAAGGCCCUGCUUUUGUGGGGUGCUCGAGUGGCGAACGGGUGAGUAACACGUGAGUAACCUGCCCUCGACUUUGGGAUAACUUCAGUAAACUAGGGCUAAUACCGGAUAGGAGCUCCUGCUGCAUGGUGGGGGUUGGAAAGUUUCGGCGGUUGGGGAUGGACUCGCGGCUUAUCCGCUUGUUGGUGGGGUAGUGGCUUACCAAGGCUUUGACGGGUAGCCGGCCUGAGAGGGUGACCGGCCACAUAGGGACUGAGAUACGGCACAGACUCCUACGGGAGGCAGCAGUGGGGAAUAUUGCAAAAUGGGCGGAAGCCUGAUGCAGCAACGCCGCGUGCGGGAUGACGGCCUUCGGGUUGUACACCGCUUUAGCCUGUGACGAAGGGUGAGUGACGGUAAUGUGUAAGGAAGCACAGGCUAACUACGUG
rnacentral:rRNA from 1 species